AGACCUUCUAUGUGUUUCUUUGUCUCUUUCUCUUUACUAUAGCCUCAUAUCCAUCGUGGCUCAUUUCCUGCUUAGUGCUCUGCCCAUCUGGCCAUUGCAACCCACACCCCAAGUCUCCAUGAAAAAGGAUCACAAAUCUAACAACAGACAUUCAAAACUAACUUUGCAAAAGAUGCUGUCUCUUGCCCUAAAAGCAGCCUUAUGCCUAGUGCUUGACUAACAACUACACCAAAUGUGCAGGAACUAAACACCUUGGGUUCUUCGUCAUGUCAAGAGACAAAAAAUAGAGACUACUAUGUAGAUCCUGUACCACUAUUUCAUUUGUGUAACCACUUAAAAUGUAUCUUUUAAAAUAACAAUAGAAUUAUAGAUGCAGAUGAUGCAAUGAGUAAAAUGACACAAUGCAGACACCAGGCUGAACUUGGCUCCUUGUCUGUAGUUCACUGAAACCGGGUUUCACAUUCACAUAGCUCAAUCUGAAGAAGCUAGUACUUCUGAGGGGAAGACGCCGGAGACCAUUUUGUACAUACCCCAGUAAUAAACAGUAUAACUCACGAAAAAAUAA
rnacentral:lncRNA from 1 species